AUACGGAGGACGCGAGCGUUAUCCGGAUUUAUUGGGUUUAAAGGGAGCGUAGGCGGGAGAUCAAGUCAGCUGUGAAAUGUAGAUGCUCAACAUCUGCACUGCAGUUGAAACUGGUUUUCUUGAGUGCGUAAGGGGCAGGCGGAAUUCGUCGUGUAGCGGUGAAAUGCUUAGAUAUGACGAAGAACUCCGGUCGCGAAGGCAGCCUGCCGGGCCGCGACUGACGCUGAAGCUCGAAGGUGCGGGUAUCGAACAGGAUUAGAUACCCUGGUAGUCCGCACAGUAAACGAUGGAUACUCGCUGUCGGCGAUAUACGGUCGGUGGCCAAGCGAAAGCGUUAAGUAUCCCACCUGGGGAGUACGCCGGCAACGGUGAAACUUAAAGGAAUUGACGGGG
rnacentral:rRNA from 1 species